GAUGAACGCUGGCGGCGUGCCUAAUACAUGCAAGUCGAGCGAACGGACGAGACGCUUGCUUCUCUGAUGUUAGCCGCGGACGUGUGAGUAACACGUGGAUAACCUACCUAUCAGACUGGUAUAACUUCGGGACACCGGCUCUAAUCCCGGAUAAUCUUUUGCACCGCAUGGUUCAUAAGUGAAAGACGGUCUUGCUGUCACUUCUCGCUGGAUCCGCGCUGCAUUAGCUAGUUGUUAAGGUAACGGCUUACCAAGGCAACGAUGCAUAGCCGACCUGAGAGGGGGAUAGGCGACCCGGGAACGGAGACACGGUCAAGACGACUGAGGGAGGCAGCAGUAGGGAAUGGGCCGCAAUGGGCGAAAGUCUGACGGAGCAACGGGGCGUGAGUGAUGAAGGUGUUCGGAGCGGAAAAAUCGGUUAUGAGGGAAGAACAUAUGUGUAAGUAACUGUGCAGAGAGUGACGGUACCGAAUCAGAAAGCCACGGCUAACUACGUG
rnacentral:rRNA from 1 species